AGUGGGGAUUAUACCGGAGCUGUCCCACCUGUUCCCAUUCCGAACACAGUAGUGAAAUACUCCAAGGCCGAUGAUAGUCCUUUAUGGGCGAAAGUAGGUAGUCCCCACUU
rnacentral:rRNA from 1 species